AUGGAGAGAGUGCUCCACGUCAAAGAUAGUCAACCGAUACAAAAUCGCCUCUUACCAGUUGCCAGCUGUAAGGCAUUAUACACUCCGCGGAAAAUCCCACCUCGGUCUCUCCCCCUCCCACACAACCCUCUCUCUCUCUCUCCCUUCCCGCCCCUCGCCCCCUCCCACUGCAUAAAGCAGCCUGAAGAGGCUUCCUUUAGGAUGAGCGGCGGCGGCGGAAGAUGGGGCGCCGCGGGAGGCGGCUACAUCAUCGGUGUUGUCGUCCGAAGCUUGAUGGGGCGAUGCGGCAAGUACACGGCCACCCCGUCUAUGGGAAGCUUCUGGCCCAAGGGCAGACCAGGCGGCGGAGGCGGCGGGCUGGGCGAUGGCAGCGCCAUCUUCUUCCAGACCAAAUGGCGCCCAAGCAAUCCAGAGAUUGCGGCCCUGAAGCGUGUCCUGGCGUCUGUGGACCGUGCGUCUCGACAUCAGAAUCAGAAGGGCAUGGAAGGAUCUGGGCUACUGCAAGAGGCUGCUAACACCGGGGAAAUGGAGGCCCUGUUCGGCAGCUCUCCGCUCCACGGCUCAGCUCCUGGAGCGGCUGGAGCGGAGCGGCGCGGUAGCCUAUUUUUCUGGAGUCAUCAAAGUGGCGCUCCGCCGGCUCCCAUUGGUUUGACACCAUCAGAGGUAACAUCUGAAUCAGAAGAAUCAAGGCAGUUGCAGAUGACCGAGGCUUGGCGUAAAAGAGGCACAGAGAAGAAAGUAGGCAUAAUUGACAUCGUUCAUGCCAGCCGUGGAGAUCACUGUCAGGGAACUGUUAAUAAUGAGACACUUGGUUACUUAGUUGGAAGGGUCUAUCCUUUCCAAACACGUCUGGGAAUUGAUAAGGGCCGAUUGCCCUUCAGGAAACAUCUAUUUAAUGAGAUGGCUCACUGUGCUGCUAACUGUUGGAACCCAGAGACUGAGUCUUCUUAUGGAUGGGUAGAGUCUAUGGGCAUUCCAGACAGAUAUGCAUAUGAUUUAAAAUCUCACUUUGACAAAAGUGGCCUUCCACUUGUAGCCCAUGAGAAGUUUUCAAAGCCUAUAGAAGUCGAGGAGUUUCAGGCUUAUUCAACUGUCGGUGUUGCUGAUUAUACUUCUCUUGAGGUCCUAUUGAAGAAAGGAUGUCCAAUGGAAUGUGACUGGUGGUCACAUGGAGCUAUUAUGUAUGAGAUGCUUGUGGGUUAUGCACCAUUUUAUUCCGAAGAUCCAAUGUCAAUGUGUAGGAAGAUAUUUGUAAUGAACAGAUCACAUAUGAUAAAGGCUUAUCCAUGGUUUAGAAGCGUUGAAUUGGAAAAGCUAUAUCAGAUGGAAGCAGCUUUCAUACCCGAAGUUAUUGAUGAAUUGGACACACAAAACUUCAAGAAUUUUGAGGUGGCUAUUGGCACGAAAAACCGAGAUCUACUUAUCUGGAAAAAAAAUACCCACAAGCCAGAGCUUCUAGUUGGAGAUUGCUACUCGUCACCGAACAGAUCAACAGGUUAUGCUGAUUCAGGCCCGCUCUUGAUUUCAAUGGAGGCUUGUGGAGGUGUUGGGCUGAACGCCGAGAGGAAGGGAGGAGGUGACGAUGGUUGGCUGAAUGCCGAGAGGAAGGGAGGAGGUGAUGAUGGUGGAAGAGGGCCGACGUUGUCUGGCUUUAGCCCAAAGGAGGAACUGAGCUCGUGGCAUCUGACUAAACCUGCAGGUGUUAAUCAUACUGGGAUCUUUUCAGGAAUUAGUCUAAAGAAACUGUCCUGUCUAUUUGCAGCGAAACAUACCGCCCUUCCCAUGCUAAAUUGGACUGCUGAAGAUAUAAUGGCCUAUGCGAAAUCAGGACACAGGAAAAAAAAGAAUAAACUAAGGGAUAAAGAUGAUGAUGAAAGUAGCUUGGAAAGUUACAGAGAAGGAAUCCGACGUAUUCGCGCAUGGUGCCGGGACAACGGCACAUGUGUGGAUAUUUCCAGCCUGUGUGGAGAGGGGCAUGAGAUCUUCACAACCCCUGGGAAUGGAACUUUCUACAUGACGCUUCAGUACAGAGGUCGUACAAUUACUCUGAACAUUUAUGGCAAUAAUUUAUAUCUUGUUGGCUGGACGGGUGGACUAGGGGGUGGAUUUGAGUUGAUGUCGGGUGCUGAUAGCUGUAUGGCUCCACAAGGGCAAAAAAUAUUGAAGUUUGGAGGCAAUUAUUGCCGGCUAUAUCCACCGGGAUACGAGAGUACGAGCCUGGGGCUUGGUGCACUGAGACACUCUUUUGAUACCUUGUAUAAAUCAGACGGUGGUGGUUCUUACAGUUUGAGGAAGGCAAUAACAAUCAUGUGUACUCAUUUCCCAGAGGCUGCACGCCUGCAAUGUGUGUUAAAGUCAAUAUGCGAUUCAUUUUUAGCUGCUCAUUUGGUUCCGAUUGGGUGUUUUCCUGACAACAUCUUUUGGAUUGGAAAUUAUGGACAUUAUGCUCGAGUUAGUAUGGAGUAUGUGGCCCAGGUGCUAUCAGGAGCAGUACCUGAGCCGAUAGUGAACCGUGAUGGUGCUAAGUUUACUACAAUCGAUGAACUUUUGAAAGAGGUACGAGUAUGCAACCGACAUGGCUGCAAAGAUGGUGUAUUUGUGCAUCAAGCUCCCGAUGAUUCUCCAGCAAGUGCCCCUAUAGGAGGGUCUGCUCCCCGCCCACCCCCCAAUGAUUUCCUUGUCAGUGGUGUACACAAACUUCAGGUCCACAAUGUUGCAGCACUAUGUGUUCCCAAUAGGUGGCUCUUGUCUCUCUACCUUAAAGCUGGAAGGCACGUUUGCAAAGUCACCAGGUCAACGGUUGGUGGAAUGGUGGUGGACCUAAAGCCAGUGGUUGAAAUUGCACAAGGUGGAAGUGCUUCUGGAACCUCUGGAUUGUACAGAAUUGUCAAGGUAACCUGCAAACAAGCGUUUGCACAUCACAAGACUUCGGCCGCAAGUGCCGGGAUCAAAUAUCAUACAUCCAAACUCCUCCUUUUGCACCUUGGUCUUCUCUCCUUAGCUACCCAUUCUCCAGGGAGUCUGUCACAGUGGGGAUGGCAGAGCUGCGGCCAGCCCAACUUAGGCUUGUGUAAGGAAAAUCACUGCACCGUCCUCACCCAAAGAAGAAAUGGGAUCAUAUUGGGCUAUAAAUUCCGCUAUGCUGCAAAUUUAUGUGGUGUUACCAAUGGUUCACCAUAUAAGGAAGGAUAUGAUUUUAUCAUUGGCACUUCAGAGCAUGUUAGACAAAAGGCAAGUUUGGUGAACAUGUGCUCUUUUGUACCUCAAAUCCCAACUCCAAUUUGUAAUCAGCUCACCAUGACUAUUCUUCUUGAGCACAGCAGCAAUGCACGUUUUUUUGGUUUAUCAGUUCACGGGCAGAUAAAACAUUUUGACCAAGGCAAUGAUGAUUGA
rnacentral:rRNA from 1 species